AUGUACAUUCCUACAAUGUUAAUGCAAUGGAUCCCAUCAAAACUCCACAUUUGAGCGUUCUUGGGCUAGAUUAGUACUGGGAUGGGUGACCACCCGCGAAUUCCUAGUGUUUUACAUG
rfam:Picea glauca, whole genome shotgun sequence.